AAGUUUAUUGUCAUAAACUUCAACUUUCUUCCCCGCCAUGUCCACGCGUUAGGUCUUCGUCUGAGACCAUUUUUUUCUCACAUCCUCCUCUGCGAAUACCCAUAAAGGAGUGCCAAUGUCCGAAUAAAAGCUCGUACUCUGUUUCUGCUUCGGCAAUUAAUUCAUUACCUCCAACAGAGACCACAACUUCAGACGCCAGAAAAAACGGAUUUGCGUCUCAAGGAUGCUCUCCAAUGGGUUAAUAGAACUGGAUUUUGUGGCGAAUUAUAAGAGAAGAUGUGGGCACUGGGCAGACGGGUAAAAUUAUGUGGAUGGGUUGCACUGCAUAGGGUUCACGGACACUGGAAUUGUACAGAUUGCCACACUCCCCGAUGACUUCCCUGAUGCUCAUUCAACUAUAAAUACCUUGAGGCUUGAGUAUGUAGUAGCAAUUGAAGGUGUUGUCCGAACAAGAACAAUCAAGUCAAUUAAUGAGAAGAUGAGAACAGGCUCAAUAGAGGCUAAAGAGAAAUUUGGUUUUCAUUUGGAGUCAUUGGACAUGGGUGCUCCUCCACAUGGUGGGAUCGACAACCGCCCAAUGUGCCCUCACGAGUGCGCCCUCGACAGCUCAAAGAUCUUUCUUUGCUCAACACCCAAUAGUGUGUGUGCCCGCCUUUUACACUAUGUUUCCUGCAUGAAUAAUAAUACCAUCAUCAAGAAAACAAUUGCAUGUGCUGCUUACAAAACAUAUAUAGCUGUACAAUUGUUCACCAUGUGUAGAAUAAA